rnacentral:snRNA from 1 species
AGCUUUGGGCAGUGGCUGUAUUAUAGCUAUUGAGGUUUACCCAAGGCACAAUUAUUGCUAAUUGAAAGAAAUAAAAGCCAUG